rnacentral:lncRNA from 1 species
CCCAAGAAGCCUCGCUGCUACAAGGCACUCAUCUUCAAGUUUUACAUGAUGGACAACAUUAGUGAAGGCCUUGAUGCUUUCAUUAUAGGUUAGAUUAACCUUCAUAUGCUCCCAAUUAUCAAGAAGAGAAUGGAUCAUAGCUUGCACUUGCUGCUCAUUGGAGAGAAAAUGGCCAGCUAAUUUUAACUCAGUAAUCAUGUUUGACAUCUCCCGUAGGUGUUGCUGAAUUGUAUGAUUGGGGUGCUUCUUGUAAGUGUCAAACUUGAUUAUCAGCUGUCUCAGUUUGGUCACCAAUGUACAUCCAAAUUUUUUCUUCAAAGC